rnacentral:rRNA from 1 species
AUUGAACGCUGGCGGCAGGCCUAACACAUGCAAGUCGAGCGGAGCGGCGGACGGGUGAGUAAUGCCUAGGAAUCUGCCUGGUAGUGGGGGAUAACGUCCGGAAACGGGCGCUAAUACCGCAUACUAUCAGAUGAGCCUAGGUCGGAUUAGCUAGUUGGUGGGGUAAAGGCCUACUAAGGCGACGAUCCGCAACUGGUCUGAGAGGAUGAUCAGUCAAAUUGGAACGGAGACAGGGUCCAGACUCCUACGGGAGGCGGCAGUGGGGAAUUUUGGACAAAGGGGGCAACCCGAAUCCAGCCAUGCCGCGUGUAUGAAGAAGGCCUUCGGUUUGUAAGGUACUUUUGUUAGGAAAGCGGUACCUAAAGAAUAAGCACCGGCUAACUACGUGCCAGCAGCCGCGGUAAUUC